AGUGGCGCGGUUGCAUCCGUAGUUCCGUAGUGACAGUCGGAAACCAAAGUGGUUCAUCAAUCGUAUCUCGCCGUUCGUGUAUCAGAUGGGCGGUACCGACUUGUACGAGGUCGCACAUUCGUCUCCCUUGGCUGUCGGAAGUAGCCCGGUUUAACGAUCGAGUUGUCAAAAUUUUUUCGAAGAGACUUUCCGCGUCCUUGGCAUGCCAGAUGACGAUUGCAUAUCAGGUGCGCGUUGCUCGCCUAGUAGUAACCGAUUAUCUCUGCAUGGAUCCCUGAAAUGCUGAGAAGCAGCUUCAAGAUUUAGCCGAUGGACGACGAUCCUGCUAUGUCAACAACGUCUAACGACUUUGACCUAAAUGACGCACUCGCCAAGAGCCAUUUCUACACUGGCCUCAUAUUGGCGAUCAGCUCGAGCGUCUUUAUCGGCGCCAGCUUCAUUGUGAAGAAGAAAGGUCUCUUACGCAUCAACAGCAAGGGCCAAACGAGAGCAGGUGCCGGAGGCUAUGGUUACCUCAAGGAAUGGGUAUGGUGGGCCGGGCUCAUUCUUAUGGCCGUCGGAGAAGCUGCAAACUUUGCAGCCUACGCAUUCGCGCCGGCAUCGCUCGUCACGCCACUGGGUGCCCUCAGCGUCUUAGUCAGUGCCAUACUGUCUUCCAAGUUCCUCAAUGAACGGCUAAACCUGAUUGGAAAAGUGGCGUGCCUUCUAUGCGUGCUUGGCUCAACAGUGAUCGUGCUACACAGCCCCAAGGAGGGCAACGUUGAGAGCAUGGAAAUGCUCGGCACAAUGAUUGUCGAGCCUGCGUUCAUAGUGUAUGUGAUCUUUGUGGUGACGGCGGCCAGCAUCCUGAUGGUGAUCUACGCGCCAAAGUAUGGCACCUCCAAUGUCGUCAUCUACGUGGCCAUCUGCUCGGUCAUUGGCUCCCUCUCGGUCAUGGGCUGCAAGGGCCUGGGCCUGGCACUGCGCGAGACUUUCGCCGGUCGCAACGAGUUCACCUCGUGGGUCACCUGGGUCUGCCUCAUCGGCGUCAUCAUCUGCAUCUCGGUCCAGAUGAACUAUCUCAACAAGGCGCUGGAUGUCUUCAACACCUCCGUCGUCACUCCCAUCUACUACGUAUUCUUUACGACGUUUGUACUGAUUGCGUCGGCCAUCUUGUUCAAGGAAUGGGGAAACAUGAGCGGCGAAGAUGUGCUUGGCAGCCUCACAGGCUUCAUGACAGUAGUGUGCGCCAUAUUCCUGCUGAACGCCUUCAAAGACUGGGACGUGUCCCUCUCGAGCCUCCAAGGCCUACUCCAGAGCACGCGCGAACAGCAGCAGCGCAACGUGGUCGACAGCGCUCUGCCGGACCUGACCACCGCACUGCUGGACUCGCCACCGUCCUCCUCGCAGAGGUCGUCGGCGCUCGUCGCUAGUGGGUACCAACGCAUCAAAGACGACCCGCUAGCUGUCACUAGCAUACACUGACAACUGCCCCCCUUAGGCUCAAGCAAUGAGUGUAUCGCCAAGCUUGCAACUUGCGAAGCAUGGAGGAAACUGGGUUGCUCAAGCCAGGGCUCUCUGAAACAAACGACUCGUGGCAGUCGCGGGGGCACGCUUGAACGACACCGCGGCUUCCCAUCCGCACAGCAGCGUCUUUAGUGAGAGUGUGGUCAUUUUGUAGAGAGGUGUUUAACGCCCUAUUAUGUCCAAGACAGCGAUGGGAACCUUUCUAGAAGAUGCGUUCAGCCUUUACCUGUAGGGAGUACAAGUAACCAAGAUGUUGCGAGGAGUGUGAAUGCAUGGCCAGAGGAAUACCAGCAGUAAUGUCCCAUAACAUCUUUAAAUGAAACAAUGAAAAAAAGACAAACAAAAUUGCAAACUGCUUGCCUGUUUGCGAUUUGCUGUAUUUCUCGCUUUUUUUACACCAUUUCAUUCAAAGAUGUUUCUUUGCCUUUAGCGCUGUCUUACAAACCAACCUCCGCUGUCAGCAAGAAUACUGGCAUAUGUGGGAUUAGCUGGCGAGCAGUGCAAACCAGGUGUGCUUAUAUCCUGACAUAGAUAACACAGAACAGGCUGUAGCUAUCAAUUCUGUUGUAAGGGCCAUUGACAAGGUAAAGUGAAAUGUUUAGACAUGGACAACCAUAUUAGGAGAUAAAACUUGAUGCUGCUACCAUUCAGCUUAGCCACAUAAUAACGAGCCACUGAGGCAGUUUUGUGUGUUUUUUAAUGAGUGAACACGGAGAGGCUUGCGACCUACAAUUUAUAAGUGACUGCACAUUCCCUAGUGUGGCAUUAACUACUGUUUUGACAGAAUGAACAAAUACAGUGCAAGCUUCUUUUUUAAUGAGAUGAAAGCGCAACACAUUCAACCAACAUUGUCUGGCCUCCGAUGUGCAUGUGUCGUUUCACCAACGUGGGUGGUUGUGUUUUAGGGACGCUGCUGGUACCACUGGUCAGUCAUUCUCUCAUUCUCCGUAAUAGUGGUACCCUGAGAUCCUGUACCAGCAUACCAGUGCCAAAAAUUAUUCAGUCACUGCUUGUAGCAUGCGCUGGCACCACUUCCCUUCUGCACUAACACCUCCGAAUGUUCCACAGCUCUACAGAAUGUUCCGCAAGGCGGUUUUAGCCCAAAGUGACUGUCUCGAAAAGAGAUUCCUCACAUUAAGUAAACUUGAGCAGCAGUGUAGUGAUAUUUUAUAUGAGAAAUGUAUUACGUAUUAAGAGCUCAGCAAGCUUUCAGGAAUGCUAAAUUGGGAACUUCGUGAAAUCGGGUUUUGUUAGAUCGAGUUUCAACUGUAGCGUUUUGAACAAUCUCUGAAUCUAAGCUCAAUUAGUGUUCCUUUUGACGGCCUUUUUUUUUUUUUUAAGCACCGCUAUCUGGGGUGUGGUUACAAGGACUCCACCUGUGCUGAUGUAUAUAGUGUUGCUACCAUGAAACGAAAGUUGGAGCAUUCUCAAUGGCUGAGUGAACUAUAAGACGAACGACUGCUUUAGCGCUUUCAGGGAACUCUCGCCCGCGAGAAUUUUGCUGUGUUUUUUCAUUUUAAAGAUAUCUGAUCUGUCUUCACCUUUUUUUUCACAAGCUAGCCCAAGUUGUCCGUAUGAAGAGUCAGCACUCCAUAGUAAGCAAGCCGUUUCCAUUUUGCAGCUCUUGUUUUCUUUAUUGAAAAUAGUAGACAAGCGCAUUAGAAUGAGUUAGUUGAUUUGUUUAUGCAUUAUGCAUAUGAAUACAAGUGUUCAAUCGCUAAUUGUGUGCAUUUUCCGAUGCUUUCUGUACAUGAACAAAUUUUUCACUUUUUUUUUCCACAGUAUGUCUUUGUUAUUAUGUAUACAAGAUAACACCUGCCUAGCCACGUAAACAUUUAUUGGCCUGACAUUUACGAAUAAUUACAUGUGAUUUAAGCAUUAAACAUUACAGUAAAAACUCGUUAAUUCAGAUUUCACGAGACCGGAAAAGCUAUCCAAAUUAACCGAUUUCCGAACUAUCGAAAGUAUCAAGAAAACAAUAAUUAAAUGCCUGUUGAUCAAUGCACUUGCAUUUUCUUGAGCAAUACGUAAAUCCAGUAAUUAUUUUGCAUAGGAGCAGUGCAAAAGCCGCAAUUUUCGUCAUUUGAGACUUUGUUCACAACGUGAACCAUUGCAUUGGAAACGUGCUCUGAACUCAAACCUUAUUACGUUAUAAAACACGAUUGUGGAUGGCGACCACACUUUUUGAAAGCCCACGGCCAUUUUGGCUGUCCCUGAACGCCAUUUUCAUUCCUUUGCGUCGUACAUUUGUGGCGCUUUGCACUCCGCGUGCUCCGAGUAUUGUCCGAAUUAACUGGGUUGCGGCCGAAUAUGACUGCAUUAACGAGAGCUGGAUGCCUUCAAGGAAUGCAUGUGCUGGCCGGGACUAGAGAACACGUCUGAAUUAUCCGAUUUUCCAAAUUCAUGAGUGUCAAAUUAAUGAGCUUUUACUGCAUAUGCAUGUGACUGAGCGUUGUGCGUCGGUAAUGGAUAUUUUGCAUUGUUGAGGCCGAAAAAUUACUUGGCUGGCUUUUAAAGACUUUCGCAAUGUGAUUUAUCUAAGUGCUCUCCAUGGACAGUGUAGAACUUUGUAAAUUUUUGCCUGCCUAUUGUGUGCCGUAAUUGCCAAAUUGACUACAGUUGCUACAUCAAAUGCACAUACAAGUUUUGGCCAAGGUUUAUCUUCGUAAGCUAUAAGUCCGCAGUGAUCUAAUGCUGUCACCGAAAUUCAUUGUUUUAAAUUGCGCGAGACCCACAUUUUUUGUUGCAUAUGUUGCAGAAGUGGAAGGUCUCGACUAAAUGCUUCUUUCAAUUGAACACUUGGCUUGUCUGUGAUCAAAUUUUGUGCUGAAGUGAAUUUUCACACGGCUUCUGUUAAUGUGUCACACGUUCCCGUCAACUGUGACAGUACCAAACUAGAAAGUCCUGUAAGUUUCCGAGUAACACUGUCUGUCCUAGAAGCAUUAAAUCCCUGCGAUGAAGUCAAAGAAAUUUGAAGCUUUGUUUUCUCAGUGGUAGGUCAUGCCACUGCUAUACCUAUUUUUGCAUCUGCAAAAAUAUUUUUUUUUAAAAUCAUGUUUUUCAUGCCCACAGACAAUGUACAUUGCAACCGAGCUUGAUAGUAUACAAACCAGUCACAAAAUUUGAGUGCUGAUAAGCGAGCUGUUUAACUGGAAAAGUCACUUCCAUGUUGUUCCAGUGUUUUUUACAGCAGAAUAUUGCUAUAUAUUUUGAAAUGUAUAUAGUGUAGUGAGGAGGUUUUACGUGAGAAAUCUUGCAUUCUUUGUUGGACAAUAGCGUGAUUCAACAAGAUAUAUAUAUAUAUAUAUAAGAGGCACCACUAAGUCAGAUAUGCCAGUGCCAACUUUGUCUUACUAGUAUUGCCUACAUGCUUGCAUCUUCUUUUUUUUUUUUGUGGGUUUCUCAUAAGGCGUUUUGGGCUCUUUGUACAGUCUCAUUGAUUUGAUGUCUUUCAAUGUACAGCAAGCAGCAGUUUGUAUUUCGUAUUUACCACUGUGCCGACCUGCUUUGUAAUCUUUCCGUUAUGUUGAAUUUUUGUGUGGCUAGUGAAAGGUGGUGCUUUACUUAAAGAUAGCUCACUAGUGUUGUUUGCCUUUCACGAGGUCUUGCUUUCCAUAGCUUUUAAUGUGGCGGUUAUGCAUGUUUAUAGGAGUUUUUUAAUUAAACAAACCUGCAAAUAUGUAUCUUAACGUGCGGGUUGUGGUACACACGCCACAUGUGAGUGUGUUAAAGACCAGUUUUGUAGUAAAGAUUAUACUGA
rnacentral:misc_RNA from 1 species